UCCGGCACUGUCGCUCGAAACCGUCGUCCCCUUCCUUUCCCCUCCCCCCCCCCCUCUCCAACUCCGCGGUCUCGAAGAAUUCAAAAACCCUAGCUCCGGAUCAAGAACCAUCGAAGGCCUUGGUGUCUCGCUGGCGGCGGCGUCCUCCUCCUCCACCGUCGGCAGUGGUGAUCUAAAGGAUCGCAUUGUGCAUGGUGAGGAGAGGAAGGCGAGUUUGGGGCAGACUCGUCUUCAAGAACGAGCUUUUCCAUUACCGAGAGCUCGAGCGAGGUGUCCGAGGGCGAUUCGGAAGCAGGAUCGGGUCGGUGAGUGGAACGAUCUUGGGGAGGAGAAGAAGGCGAGUUCGGGCUAGACUCGUCUCCAAGAACGAGCUCUUCCAUCAUCAAUAACUCGAGCGAGGUGUCCGAGGGUGAUUCUAAAGCAGGAGUCCUCGAUUGGAUCGGCUAGGGGGACGGUCUUGGUGAGGAUAGGAGGCGAGUUCGGGAGAUAGCGUAGGGAGCGAUGAAGUUCCGGCGGGGUUCGUGGAACGGCCUUCGAGUCCGGUGGAUGUGUGAGCUGUGAGGAGCCUGCUGAGUUCGGACACGAUAUUUCAACGGGUUCGUGCUCUCUGGCUUUUCACAUCCAAUUGGAUGGCACAAGAACCAUUGAAUUGUGUUAUUCAGCAUGCGUUGAAUCAAUAGUCGGUGAUUUCUUGGUUGUAUGUUCAGAGCAUGCGGGUAUCUUCAACCUUUGCCUGGUAGUUCUGCUUGCAGUAAACAGCAAGCUUGUCAUUGAGAACUUGAUGAUAAUUUGCAGAAUUUCCAAAUCUUGUUCUGGCCAGAUAAAGAAUCAUGCAGUCUUUCUUAUGUUUGUGUCUGCUUCAUUGGAGCAAUAUUUAUUUUUUUUCCUUCUUGCUGCAUGAUAUACUAAUAGGAAAUGGAUUUUUCUUCAGUUCAAGGUUUCUGAGAGAUUAGCCACUUCUUAUGUGUAGGUAAUGCUUCUUUCCUGAUUUCUUCUUGAUUUUCUUGAUAAUGUCACUCAAUUAUUCAACUCAUUUAUAUAUCAAAUUUCUGACCUGGCAUUUUUUUUAAUGUGUUUGUAAAUUAUAUAGUCUAGCUCUACAUGUUUUUUGUCUUGAUGCUUAUGUGGUUGAAAAGGUGGCACGUGACAAGUUCAUUUCUGAACUUGUAGUCUUUGGACAUUAAGUAUUCCAUAUCAAAUUCAACUUAUCCUUUUUAACCAGGAAUUGACAUAUGGGUAUUUCGAUAGUCUAUUUUGGCUAAGAGCCCCAUAUAGUUAUUGUUAUAGGGCAUCAAUUUUUUGUUAUGCAAUGAGUAACCUGAAAUAUUGGAACACACAUUUAUUGCAUAUUUUCAUAUGUAGCUUUUGUGUGGGUGCACAAUACACCUUCAGAAUUAUGUCUAUAGAUAUGUUUAAUUAGACAAAGAAACCAUUAACUAAUGCAUAUAAAUAUGGCUUUAUUUACUUAGAGUAUGUUUUAUGAAUACCUUAUCUUGUUCGAUUAAUUUAAGAUUGUCUUCCUCUGUCAGUGAUUCUAGAACCAAAGUUGAUCGAUAUCAUUAUAUAAGACAUGCCCCGUGGAGUACUUUAAUACUUUAAUUAGCAGUCGUAGCAUUUAUACUGGUUAUGUUCAAGUGCUUGCUCAGCAGUUUCUUGUUGCUGAGCAAAUAAAUUAUUGCAUUAUUGCAUUAUUGUCAUUCUCACUUUCUUGGGUGUUACAUGGGUUAUUGCUCCAAGAUUGUUCUUUCCACAUGCACGAUCGAAUAAAUUAUUGCACCAUGUGUCCUGAUACAUAAUAUUUUGAUGUUGUCAUAUGUUGUUGAUUAUGCAGCAACAAUAAGUUUUGUGAGAAGUCUGCUUAUUGGUGAGUUCUGAUGUAUAAUGGAAUUAACUGUACCAUAUGCUUUUUUUUUUUUAUCUUUUUUAGGUACAAUUGCCAUGUCAACUUUAUGCUUGAUUAAUGUCAUUUAUUAACUAAUUCUAAUUGACAGAGCUUUUUGCUUAGUGCUUUACUUUUUUCAGUUAUUCACUGCACUGGCCAAAUUAUCUAUUAUAUGAUAAUUAUCCCUUUUUACCUCCUGUCAUAGCUAAACCAGUGUUUAACUUACAUGAUUUGCAGCUUGUUGUUUGACUAAAUGUAAUACUCACAACAACUAGAAUCAUGUAUCUAGUUUCAUGAUUCUAAGGUAAGAGUUCAUUUUGAUGCCUACAACAUUUUCAUUAGAUCUUGAAGUAGUUUGAGAUUUAUAAGUAGCAAUAUGCCUCAUGUAAGUUCAGAUAUGUAAUUCUCUUAGGAAUUCAAAAGAUGCAUAAUUGGCUUUUUUUUUUUUAAUACAAUUUUGAUUGUAGGAAAAAUGAUCAUUUAGAUGUAUCACUUCAAUUGGAGCGUCUGUUGUGUGCUUUAAAAGACCAAUAUUGUGCUCUAUGUUACCGGGUAUUAUCAAGUUGGACCUCUAAUUAAUUGAUGGAAGCUGUUGAUCUGUUGGAUGUCUGGAAAAACAACUUUCUGACAAAGCAUUGAGUUAGCAG